rnacentral:hammerhead_ribozyme from 1 species
GUACUGUGAAGAGUCCGAAACCAGGACGAAACAGCUGUCCAGUAC